GACGGACGCUGGCGGCGUGCUUAACACAUGCAAGUCGAACGGAAAGGCCCUGCUUUUGUGGGGUGCUCGAGUGGCGAACGGGUGAGUAACACGUGAGUAACCUGCCCUUGACUUUGGGAUAACUUCAGGAAACUGGGGCUAAUACCGGAUAGGAGCUCCUGCUGCAUGGUGGGGGUUGGAAAGUUUCGGCGGUUGGGGAUGGACUCGCGGCUUAUCAGCUUGUUGGUGGGGUAGUGGCUUACCAAGGCUUUGACGGGUAGCCGGCCUGAGAGGGUGACCGGCCACAUUGGGACUGAGAUACGGCCCAGACUCCUACGGGAGGCAGCAGUGGGGAAUAUUGCACAAUGGGCGGAAGCCUGAUGCAGCAACGCCGCGUGCGGGAUGACGGCCUUCGGGUUGUAAACCGCUUUCACCUGUGACGAAGCGUGAGUGACGGUAAUGGGUAAAGAAGCACCGGCUAACUACGUG
rnacentral:rRNA from 1 species